UACAGAGGUCUCAAGCGUUGUUCGGAUUCAUUGGGCGUAAAGGGUGCGUAGGUGGUGGGGUAAGUCGGAUGUGAAAUCCCGGGGCUCAACCCCGGAACUGCAUUCGAUACUGCCUUGCUCGAGUACUGGAGAGGAGACUGGAAUUUACGGUGUAGCAGUGAAAUGCGUAGAUAUCGUAAGGAAGACCAGUGGCGAAGGCGGCCAGCUGGGCCGGUUCUGACGCUGAGGCGCGAAAGCGUGGGGAGCAAACAGG
rnacentral:rRNA from 1 species